AAACCGUGAUAAGGGGACACCGAGUGCCAGCAUCAUAUGCUGGCUGUCCGGGUGUGUAAAAUACACCUGUUAGCAAGGGCCGGGCAAGACCGGUGCCAGCCGCCGCGGUAACACCGGCGGCCCGAGUGGUGAUCGUGAUUAUUGGGUCUAAAGGGUCCGUAGCCGGUUUGGUCAGUCCUCCGGGAAAUCUGACGGCUUAACCGUUAGGCUUUCGGGGGAUACUGCCAGACUUGGAAUCGGGAGAGGUAAGAGGUACUACAGGGGUAGGAGUGAAAUCUUGUAAUCCCUGUGGGACCACCUGUGGCGAAGGCGUCUUACCAGAACGGGUUCGACGGUGAGGGACGAAAGCUGGGGGCACGAACCGGAUUAGAUACCCGGGUAGUCCCAGCCGUAAACGAUGCUCGCUAGGUGUCAGGCAUGGCGCGACCGUGUCUGGUGCCGCAGGGAAGCCGUGAAGCGAGCCACCUGGGAAGUACGGCCGCAAGGCUGAAACUUAA
rnacentral:rRNA from 1 species